GAUGAACGCUAGCGGCAGGCUUAAUACAUGCAAGUCGUGGGGCAGCAGGGGCGUAGCAAUACGCUCGCUGGCGACCGGCAAACGGGUGCGGAACACGUACACAACCUUCCUUCAAGUGGGGGAUAGCCCGGGGAAACCCGGCUUAAUACCCCGUAACAUAAUGAAUUGGCAUCGAUUUAUUAUUAUAUCAGCAAUGCGCUCGAAUAUGGGUGUGCGACUGAUUAGGAAGUUGGCGGGGUAACGGCCCACCAAACCUACGAUCAGUAACUGGUGUGAGAGCACGACCAGUCACACGGGCACUGAGACACGGGCCCGACUCCUACGGGAGGCAGCAGUAAGGAAUAUUGGUCAAUGGACGCAAGUCUGAUCCAGCCAUUCCGCGUGCAGGAUGAAGGCCUUCGGGUUGUAAACUGCUUUUGUACAGAACGAAAAGGCUCUAGUUAAUACCUGGGGCUCAUGACGGUACUGUAAGAAUAAGCACCGGCUAACUACGUGCCAGCAGCCGCGGUAA
rnacentral:rRNA from 1 species